rnacentral:lncRNA from 1 species
UUAACUUGACUAAUAGAUUAACUUAAAUUAAACUAAACUCACAAGACUACAAAUACAUAAGAAAGUUAUUGCUUACAUUAUCCACAAUACCUUAAUUAGUUAAAGCAGAUUUUAUACUUGAAAAUAAUUUUAAAAAAACAUAAAUUUAUAAAAUGAAAAUUUAGAUGCCCGCUCAAGUUGCGUUUGCUGAUCAAUGGCAUUAGCAACAAGAUGCGUUGUUAGGACCACACACCAAAAAAAAUAAAAAAUAAAUAAAAAAAGUUAGGGACCACAUACAUUUAAGUGUUUGAGUUUAACGAGGAGUAUCAAGAUUCUGGUUUGAGUUUGGGAAUUUGAGGUUGGAGUUCUAAAUUCUCAAAUUGAUUUUUUUUAUUUAUAUACAAGCGAUAACCUAACUAAAUU